UCAUCAAUCUGAGAUUGCUCUGCAGCCGAUCUGACCUCAGGUGCUGUUCGACACAAUGAGGUUUCUGAUCUCACUGUGUGUGUCGCUGCUGCUGAUUAAUGGUGAACUAACCGAUGGACAAACAACAGGUACAAUCAUUCUUUCACUUCAUCCAAUCUUCAAUUCAUCCUUUGUUUUUCAUUAAAAAUGUUGAAAUAAAUGUAGUAGAAAUAAUUAAUAUGAUAAAAGAGUUUUCCUAUUGAUUUAAAACCUUCUCAUGUUUUAGCACUU